AAAAAUACACCCUUAAUGUAUUAUUUUUUUAAAUUAAAUUUAUAUCGUACUAAAGUAUAUAUAAGGACAGAAGAAUUCUUUUCUCUCCAUUAGAUGAUUGAGUGUGGAGUCGCAGCUACUGAAAUAUACCUAGAAUAAUGAAGCUUUUAUUAAUCGCCAUCGUUGUACUCGCUGUACACUAUUCAGAAGGAAGAAGUUAUCUGAAUUUACCGACGUGUACCCCAAAUUGUGACAAUGUACAAUGUCCUGAGGAGUCAUCAUUUGGGGGCUGUGAACGUGGUAUGCCCUAUUGUGGAUGCUGUGAAGAAUGUACUGGUGAAGUUGGUGCCACUUGUUCAGCGCGUACUGUCAGAUGUGGGCGUGGUUUGGUGUGUACAAAUGAUGCCGGCGAGGAAAGACAGUUGGUUUGGCCCACAGAUAAACACUACCGGGGAACCUGUACAGAACCCAGUGGUACCCGAAACAGAAACCGACGUCCUAGGCCUCAAAAUAGAAACCGACGUCCUGGAUCUACAAAUAGGAACAGACGCCCUGGACCCCAAUGUGUUUAAAGUAAAAAAUAAAAGUGCAUCAAAUCUUUGAAAUGCACAGAAUCCAA